CGCCCUAGGCUGGAUUGUGAAUUCAUGCAUAGAACCAGACCUGCUCUACACCUAAUGCCAAAAAAAUCCUGCAAAGUUUUCCUCUGCUACAAAGCAACACAAAAAGCCCUCCUAGUCCAUCACCUGUUGCUCAAGGCAUGUAAGAGUAGAAACACACUUAGCCCCUAGAGCCCACACUGAGAAGCUGAGCACUGAGAAGGGACCAGGAUGUGAGGAGCCGCAGUAGUGGUCUUUGACCACUAUUUCUGCUGAGCAAAAACCAGAAAGCUUAUUCCUUUGUUCUAGAAAUCAGAAAACAAGGAGAAGCACUGCUUUAAUUACAUUUAGAGGUUUUUCCUAGGUACAGAGACAUGGCCAUGGAUCUUUCUGUAUAUAUAUAUUUUAUUUAUAUAUACACAUAUAUAUAUAUAUCUAUAUAUAUGUAUGUGUAUUAUAUUAUUGAAUACUAUAUAUUCAAAACAUUUUACAUCAUAGCCAUGGGAAAUGGCAUUCCCACAGCAGGGAAAUGCCAUGACAGAAAAUGCAAGGAGGAUCGUUCUGUAUGACUCACUCUAGCAGGGAGGCCUUGGGACCAAAGCACCACCACCAUUUUUUCCCCCAUUUUUCUCCUUCCACAGUAUUAGUCAGGAGGCGGGGCUGAGAUGGGGGGCACGGAAGUGACAGCUUUGACACACAGCUGAAACCAUCAGGGCCAGUGUGGCAUGUGGGACUGUUUUUCCACUGCAGCAGAACCAGGCAAGCCAGAGUGGUGACACUGAUCCCAAGUGAGUCCAGCCAAGCCAAGUGGAGCCCAGCAGGGUGGUAGGAAGAGGCAGCAAAGCGGCAGAUCUCAUUCCCACACACAUGCCCAGCAUGGCAGACUGAUGGCAGUGGCAGUGCCAAACAGAGCUCUGCAGGGACAGAGAGACACCCAUCACCAUCGCCACUGCCACCAUCCCUGCUGCAGAGAGGGAGCAGGAGACUGCCACUGCAGGAGAGAGAGGAGAGGCUUUACAAGGACUACCUCAAGAAGAGGACAUAGAAUGGAGGGAAGGCCUUAGAAAGAAUAAACAACCCUCAUGCUGCUGCUUUUGCAAGGAAUAAAUAUCCAAGUUUCUUAAUAUCCAGCCACAAAUCUGUGGAGUCUUGACAGCCAAGAAGCACAGGAACCUGGACACCUUCUUGUGAGAGACUAGAGGAGAUUGCUGGCUCAACACUUUUCACGGGCUUGUAUGUGGGGAAGGGGCAGAUCAAGCCUUGCUCUGGUGAGGCCAUGCCCCACUCAGCACGCCCCACACCCCCAGGCCUGUAUCCCAGCCCAGCAGUGGCCACUGAUCCCUGGCACACCAGAGGCAAUGCUCCACACCUGUGUCUGGAGCCCCUAACCCAGCUCCUAAAUGGCCAGGUGAGUGGGAGCCCCAUGUGGGGGAAGGCCCCAGGAGAGCCAAAGGCUAUUUACCUUGGGAUAUGUGGCCACCACAUGUCUUGACCCUACCUCUUCUUGGAAUUUCUAUCAGCUGAACACCACUGGAACCUGGAGUGAUAGCUAUGUUGGUUCUUUUCUGUCAUUCUCUUUUUCUCUUUCUUCUCCCUUUUCCCUCCUCUCAGAUUUUUGAAAAUAACUUAAAAUGUAACAGGUUUAGUAAUCUAAAUGUAAAUUAACUUACAGAGAUUAUAAGUUGAAUGGGCUAAAUUAAUGCUUCAUAGAAUAUUUUAUGUUGAUUGAAUCCUGCUCUAAAUUAUUUUUGGCUUUAAAGUUCUCUUAUUUUCAAAUGUUGCCAGUGAAGGGUUUUGAUGUUGUUCCGAACUCUUGAGAACAUCUCGUCAGUAUUUCUCCUGCUUUUCUAACUUAGAGUACAUGAACAAGUUUAAAUCCUUUUAAAGUAUCUCAUAGAGCAAUGUUUUUGGAGGCUUGCAUUUUAAUUGGCACAGCAAGCAAGGUACUCUUGAGGUGAGAUGGGCCUUUUAUACAGCAUUAACUGUUCAUGACAUAAUAAAGGAGAAAUAAAUUGUCAGUCAAAGCUGCUCUUUUCUGGCAGAAAAGUAAUAGAAUCCCACGCAGAAACUGAUCUGAACUGCUCUCCACUGACACACUUGCUAAAAGCUUAUAUAGAAAGCUUGUCCAGCCCUAAAGAGAGAUGGGGAUGGAGAGAAACUAGCACCAUCCACAGUUACUUGUGGAGAAACAUGAAAUUUGGUAGAAGAAAAUUAAAAAUUCCCAGUAAAGGACCAUGCCUGGUAUGCAUAUGCAUGGAGGUUUGACUCAGAGCUGUAUGGUGCCCAUCAUCUGGAAAAGGAGCUGCAUCAGCUGCAAAUUGCUGAGCCUGAAACAAUAGCCAGCCUCAGGCCAGAGCAGGAAUUGAAUGCCAGGAUGAAGCCAGCCCCCAAACCAUGAGAAACCAGUGAAACACGCUCUUCCAAAGCCAAAGAGCUUUAGAGUUGCAAUUCAACACUGCUGGGGAAGGCCCGGAAGCAGUGUUUUCCGUAGUCCAGGAACAGCCAGGCCUUCCUGACUGUAAGGUCAGCCCCACAGCCCUUGGGAGGGCUUUAGUGCCUCAAAGUCCAACCCCGCCCCUCACCCUAAACUCUCCCCACCCCUAUAAAAUACAGAGGCAGGAUGCCCCGAAAAUGAUGUCACCUUCCUCUGCUCCCUGGAGGAGAGGUUCGGCUCUGCAAAGCCAAUCUUCUUCCCUCCUCAUCCCAAGCCCUGCUCACUGAUAAAGAAGGAAUUCACUUACCAGGAUGCAGUGUCUGCAGUGAUACCUCAUUCUGCAACAGAAGUGGUUGAACUACACGGGAAAAUAAGCAAUGAUCGCAAAGAAAGGGAAAUGGAGAAUGUUUUGCGAAUUUGGAUUUGGGGGAAUGAAAUAGAACUUUUGGAGAAGGAAGCACAUGGUGAAAAGCGCUGGUCUUUUGCUCAGGGAACAACUUGUGGUAUGAAAAGUUUGGACCCCUUGCAGAGGGGGGAACCCCAUACAAUGCAUGAGAAACAGCUAAUGCCUGUUGACCUUCUUCUGUGUUAUUGUAAGUUAUUUCAACAUUCAAGGAUCAAAACUGAGAAAACAAAAUCUUGGCACCACCUCCAAAAAGUUAUGGUUGUUGAUAGAAGGUGGUGGAUUGAAAUAUCCCUAGAGGCUCUCUGGAAAGAAAAUGGGGAUUAAAUGGGGACUCAGUUUCCCCGGAUUCUUAAUGAAGCUUUGCAAACUGCUCCUGCCCUGCCUCCUUCUGGCAGCCCUGGCUAUUGAGCCUUGUCUGCCACCAAAGGCUGGAAGCCGAAAUGCUGCUGCUAGAGCAUAACCCUUAGGAGAAAAUGCUUUUAUCAUCGUGCAAGUUUGUUGUUUUGGUCUCACUAACAAGCCUGAAUGUUCAAGAAUGUCCUCACUAGUCAGGAGACUGGGUGUGCAUCCAGACCCGGAAAGGAGAGCCACUUAACCAGAAGUGGAAAGGACUUUUGAUCCCAUGGCUGUGAGAUUUACAGCUGGACACUCCUAAAUUAUGUGAUUAAAGUUAGCUCUGGACACAUGGAAUUGUAUUGGACAGUCCAGUAAAUGUAACUCUGCUGCAGAUAAAGCUGCAAUGGAACAUUUCUAAAGUGAAAAACAUUAAAUGUUUUCUCUUUCUGCCCAUUUCCAGAGCAGUGUCCCUGGUAUGGCAGCAAGGCUGUUUGUUCCUGAAUUAGUCAACCAUCCUAGCAGGACCAUGUACCUAAUGACUACAAUAGCAAGUAUGGCUUUGAGUGCCAGAGGGGUAAGAGACCAAGAAAGAAAAGAGAGCCAUGUCUGUAGGAGUGUGCACCCUAAUGGCAGAGUGGCAAAACUAGCCUUUGUCCCCCAGAAAAGAAAAGAAGGCCAGAAGUUUCUCUCAAGGAUUAGGUGAAAAGCCACCUCAUGGGACCUCAGGGACUUCACCAAAUACUUGAGGACAUCUAAUUGGAUAGAAGCCAAAAAGUCCCGCUUGAUCCAUCAGGGAGAAAAAGAAGAGAAGAAAAGAGCUAAGUGCUUUUGUGAAGUGUUUUUACCAGGAGCAGACCUCUGCACCUGGCUCGAGUUUUUCUCUUUGUUAUUAUGCCUUUUAUUAAACCUUUUUGUUUCUAACACUGCA